CUGGGUAUGGCUCAGCUUGGUAGAGCGCUUGCUUGGGGUGCAAGAGGUCGCUGGUUCAAAUCCAGUUACCCAGACCA
rnacentral:tRNA from 1 species